AUCAGUAAAAAGAACCGAACUUCCCAUCACUACUCUGCAGACUGCCACUGCUGCACGACACUCACAUGCUAUUAAGCCAAUCUCAUAAAAUAUAUUUUUAGCACAAACUGUAUAUUAGUCUAUUGUAGGCUAUAGGCCUAUGUAUUUGGGUUCGGGUUAGAAGCGUCGAUUACCGGUCGUAUGUUUACAUUGAAGAGUGAAAAAUAUUUGCACUCGACAAAAAUUCAGGAGCUAGCUUUCUUGAAUUUUCAUAGAUAUGUUUUAUCAUCCAGUAUUUUUCAUUUUCAAAAUCACACUGGGAAAAGCAGUAGGCAACAUGAGUGUAUGGCGGCUGACCUGAAUGUCUUUGUUUUCCAGAAGCUGGGGACAGAGGGGUAGGAAAUGUAUUUACUGAGCAUAUGCCUGCAUGAGGGAGUAUGUGUUGGUUGUAGGUGUUGUGAUUUUCUUAUAUUUAUUCCACCUGCAGUUCACUCUAUUCAGAGGUAAAGACUCUCCUCUGGCUACAGUGUGAAGACUGCAAAGGAUGGCUGCACACAGAUUGUGCUGGUGUCGCAGAGCAAUCCAUCAGAGAUCCCUACUGGUGUGGUUGCAAGAGACCUUUGCCUUUGAACUUUGAUGGGACACUAAGAGUUCUGCAGCAGGAUGGAGUGCAGGGUCUCAUUGGUGACGAUGAGCUCCAGAAAAUACAUCAAGCACUGGUGUCUGAUGAAAUUAAGUCGAGCCGGAUGUAUCUUUAGAGAAAUCCCGGAACCUCAUUGAAACUGAAGCAGCUUUUAAGACCAAAGUGUUUCCUUUUCAAUGAAGAAAAUGUCACCAUCCACAUCAUCAGAAAGAACGACAGCGUUUGCCGGUUAAUGGCUGAGAUGUGCCUUGCCUCAGGAACUGUGUUUGAGUGAAUAUAUAGUGUACUACAGUGUUUUGUACAUGUACAAAAAGUGUUUUGAAUUGUAUUAUUUAUGUUUUCAAAUACAUCUAUUUUUAUUGA